AGUGAACGCUGGCGGUAGGCCUAACACAUGCAAGUCGAACGGCAGCACAGUAAGAGCUUGCUCUUACGGGUGGCGAGUGGCGGACGGGUGAGGAAUACAUCGGAAUCUACUUUUUCGUGGGGGAUAACGUAGGGAAACUUACGCUAAUACCGCAUACGCCCUACGGGUGAAAGCAGGGGAUCUUCGGACCUUGCGCGAUUGAAUGAGCCGAUGUCGGAUUAGCUAGUUGGCGGGGUAAAGGCCCACCAAGGCGACGAUCCGUAGCUGGUCUGAGAGGAUGAUCAGCCACACUGGAGCUGAGACACGGUCCAGACUACUACGGGAGGCAGCAGUGGGGAAUAUUGGACAGUGGGCGCAAGCCUGAUCCAGCCAUACCGCGUGGGUGAAGAAGGCCUUCGGGUUGUAAAGCCCUUUUGUUGGGAAAGAAAAGCAGCAGGUUAAUACCCCGCUGUUCUGACGGUACCCAAAGAAUAAGCACCGGCUAACUUCGUG
rnacentral:rRNA from 1 species